rnacentral:tRNA from 1 species
CGGGGCGUAGCUCAGCUUGGCUAGAGCACAUGGUUUGGGACCAUGGGGUCGGAGGUUCAAAUCCUCUCGCCCCGA